rnacentral:rRNA from 1 species
ACAUGCAUACAACUUAGAGUUAAUUCACUGGAUCCCAUUAGAACUUUGUAGUUAAGUGUGCUCGGGAUAGAGUAGUAUUGGGAUGGGUGACUGCCCGGGAAGUCCUAGUAUUUUACAUGGC